rnacentral:rRNA from 1 species
GAUGAACGCUGGCGGCGUGCCUAAUACAUGCAAGUCGAGCGAACAGACGCGGCGCUUGCUCCGCUGACGUUAGCGGCGGACGGGUGAGUAACACGUGGAUCCCCUACCUAUCAGACUGGGAUAACCUCGGGACACGGGCGCUAAUCCGGGAUAAUCUCUUGAACCGCAUGGUUCAAUAGAGAAAGUCGGUUUUGCUGUCACUUCUAGCUGCUUCUGCGCUGGAUUAGGUAGUUGUUAAGGUAACGGCUUACGAAGGCAACUAUGCGUAGCCGACGGGAGAGGGUGAUCGGCCACCCUGGAACGGAGACAGGGACCAGACUCCUACGGGAGGCAGCAGUAGGGAAUGGGACGCAGUGGGCGAAAGCAUGACGGAGCAGCGCCGCGUGAGUGAUGAAGGUCUUCGGAUCGUAAAACUCGGUUACGGGGGGUAAACAAAUGUGUAAGUAACUAUGCACGGCGUGACGGUAACUAAUCAGAAAGCCACGGCUAACUACGUG